rnacentral:rRNA from 1 species
UACGUAGGGGGCGAGCGUUGUCCGGAUUCAUUGGGCGUAAAGAGCUCGUAGGCGGUUCGGUUAGUCAGAUGUGAAAACUCCGGGCUCAACUCGGAGAGGCCAUCUGAUACUGCCGUGACUGGAGUUCGGUAGAGGAGUGUGGAAUUCCCGGGUGUAGCGGUGAAAUGCGCAGAUAUCGGGAGGACACCAGCGGCGAAGGCGGCACUCUGGGCCGAUACUGGACGCUGAGGAGCGAAAGCGUGGGGAGCGAACAGG